rnacentral:rRNA from 1 species
AUUUUGACUGUGCAAAGGUAGCAUAAUCAUUAGUCUCUUAAUUGGGGACUAGUAUGAAUGGUUUAACGAAGUAUUAACUGUCUCAUUUUAAUAAAUUGAACUUAACUUUUGAGUCAAAAGGCUUAAAUAAAGUUAGAGGACGAGAAGACCCUAUAGAGCUUUAUAAAUUGAAUAUUAAAUUGGAUUUAGAAGUUUUGUUUAAUUUGAAUAGAAAAUUUAUUUUAUUGGGGUGAUAUGAAGAUUUAAUAAACUCUUUAUAGUAAUUAAACACUAAUGAGUGAAUAAUUGAUCCAUUUUUAGUGAUUAUAAGAUUAAGUUACCUUAGGGAUAACAGCGUAAUGUUUUUUGAGAGUUCUUAUCAACAAAAAAGAUUGCGACCUCGAUGUUGGAUUAAGGAAAAAGUUGGG